UCUGGGCACAUCCAUAUGGCCUGGAGCCCUCUCUCACUCCUCGUCCUCACUUUCUGCACAGGCUCUGUGACCUCCAGUGAGCUGACUCAGCCUCCCUCAGUGUCAGUUGCCCUGGGUCAGACCGCUACAAUCACCUGCACUGGAGAGGAAGUAGAAUAUGUUUAUGUCUACUGGUACCAGCAGAAGCCAGGCCAAGCCCCUCUGACGGUCAUUUACGAUGAUAGUGAUCGGCCUUCAGGGAUCCCAGGGCGAUUCUCUGGCUCCAAGUCAGGGAACACGGCCACCCUGACCAUCAGCAGGACACAGGCCGAGGACGAGGCUGACUAUUACUGUCAGUCCUUGACAGCAGUGGUAUAGUGUUCGGCGGCGGGACCCAGCUGACCGUCCUCG